rnacentral:tRNA from 1 species
GGAGAAGUACUCAAGAGGCUGAAGAGGCGCCCCUGCUAAGGGUGUAGGUCAUUCGCGUGGCGCGAGGGUUCAAAUCCCUCCUUCUCCG